GCUUUCGUGGUGUAGUGGUCAGUACGCUCGACGCGUAUUCGAGAGGUCCGUGGUUCGAGUCCCGGUGAGGGCA
rnacentral:tRNA from 1 species